GAAAUGCGAUAAGUAAUGUGAAUUGCAGAAUUCAGUGAAUCAUCGAAUCUUUGAACGCACCUUGCGCUCCUUGGUAUUCCUUGGAGCAUGCCUGUUUGAGUAUCAUGAAAUCUUCAAAGUAAAUCUUUUGUUAACUCAAUUGGUUUCUACUUUGGUAUUGGAGGUCUUUGCAGCUUCACACCUGCUCCUCUUUGUUCAUUAGCUGGAUCUCAGUGUUAUGCUUGGUUCCACUCGGCGUGAUAAGUUAUCUAUCGCUGAGGACACUGUAAAAGGUGGCCAAGGUAACUGCAGAUGAACCGCUUCUAAUAGUCCAUUGACUUGGACAAUACUUUUAUGAUCUGAUCUCAAAUCAGGUAGGACUACCCGCUGAACUUAAGC
rnacentral:misc_RNA from 1 species